rnacentral:rRNA from 1 species
GCGAUCAUACCUGCACUAAUGCACCGGAUCCCAUCAGAACUCCGAAGUUAAGGGUGCUUGGGCAAGAGCAGUACUAGGAUGGGUGACCCCCUGGGAAGUCCUCGUGUUGCACUU